GGACGGCCUUCGGGUUGUAAACUCUGUUCUGCGGGAAGAACGGCAGCCGGGUGAACAGUCCGGUUGAGUGACGGUACCGCAGAAGAAAGCCCCGGCUAACUACGUGCCAGCAGCCGCGGUAAUACGUAGGGGGCAAGCGUUGUCCGGAAUUAUUGGGCGUAAAGGGCGCGCAGGCGGCCUGUUAAGUCUGAUGUGAAAGACCGCGGCUCAACCGCGGGGUGGCAUCAGAAACUGGCAGGCUUGAGUGCAGGAGAGGAGAGUGGAAUUCCCGGUGUAGCGGUGGAAUGCGUAGAGAUCGGGAGGAACACCAGUGGCGAAGGCGGCUCUCUGGCCUGUUACUGACGCUGAGGCGCGAAAGCGUGGGGAGCGAACAGGAUUAGAUACCCUGGUAGUCCACGCCGUAAACGAUGAGUGCUAGGUGUUGGGGGUAUCACGCCCUCUGUGCCGAAGGUAACCCAAUAAGCACUCCGCCUGGGGAGUACGGCCGCAAGGCUGAAACUCAAAGGAAUUGACGGGGGCCCGCACAAGCGGUGGAGCAUGUGGUUUAAUUCGAAGCAACGCGAAGAACCUUACCAGGGCUUGACAUCCCGCUGAUCGGUGUAGAGAUACACCUUCCCUUUUGGGCAGCGGUGACAGGUGGUGCAUGGUUGUCGUCAGCUCGUGUCGUGAGAUGUUGGGUUCAGUCCCGCAACGAGCGCAACCCUUAUCG
rnacentral:rRNA from 1 species